UUUCCGUAGGUGAACCUGCGGAAGGAUCAUUAUCGUACAAAAUGUGAGGGGCAUGCAAGGGCUGUCGCUGACUCAAAAGUCGUGCACGCCCGAGUGUGUCCUCUUGCAUAAUAAUCCAUCGCACCCUUUGUGCAUCACCGCGUGGGCACCCUUCGGGAUCAUCUCGGAGGGGGGCUCGCGUUUUCACACAAACCCCCCUUUUUAAAAUAUAGAAUGACAACAUUCUUUCAAUCAAUACAACUUUCAACAACGGAUCUCUUGGCUCGCGCAUCCAUCAAA
rnacentral:misc_RNA from 1 species